rnacentral:rRNA from 1 species
AUUGAACGCUGGCGGCAUGCCUUACACAUGCAAGUCGAACGGCAGCACGGGAGCAAUCCUGGUGGCGAGUGGCGAACGGGUGAGUAAUAUAUCGGAACGUGCCCGGUAGUGGGGGAUAACCCGGCGAAAGUCGGACUAAUACCGCAUACGACCUAUGGGUGAAAGCGGGGGAUCGCAAGACCUCGCGCUAUUGGAGCGGCCGAUAUCAGAUUAGCUAGUUGGUGGGGUAAAGGCCUACCAAGGCGACGAUCUGUAGCUGGUCUGAGAGGACGACCAGCCACACUGGGACUGAGACACGGCCCAGACUCCUACGGGAGGCAGCAGUGGGGAAUUUUGGACAAUGGGCGCAAGCCUGAUCCAGCCAUGUCGCGUGCGGGAAGAAGGCCUCGGUUGU